rnacentral:rRNA from 1 species
UACGUAGGUGGCAAGCGUUGUCCGGAUUUAUUGGGUUUAAAGGGUGCGUAGGCGGCUUUGUAAGUCAGUGGUGAAAUAUGGCAGCUCAACUGUCAGGGUGCCAUUGAUACUGCGGAGCUUGAGUACAGAUGAGGUAGGCGGAAUUGACGGUGUAGCGGUGAAAUGCUUAGAUAUCGUCAAGAACACCGAUAGCGAAGGCAGCUUACUGGGCUGUAACUGACGCUGAGGCCCGAAAGUGUGGGGAGCAAACAGG